ACGGCUCAGUAACACGUAGUUAACAUGCCCAAAGGACGUGGAUAACCUCGGGAAACUGAGGAUAAACCACGAUAGAUCAUAAUAUCUGGAAUGAUAUAUGGUUCAAAUCUAUAUGGCCUCUGGAUUGGACUGCGGCCGAUCAGGCUGUUGGUGAGGUAAUGGCCCACCAAACCUGAAACCGGUACGGGCUCUGAGAGGAGAAGCCCGGAGAUGGGCACUGAGACAAGGGCCCAGGCCCUAUGGGGCGCAGCAGGCGCGAAAUCUUUGCAAUAGGCGAAAGCCUGACAAGGUUACUCUGAGUGAUUUCCGUUAAGGAAAUCUUUUGACACCUCUAAAAAUGGUGUAGAAUAAGGGGUGGGCAAGCCUGGUGUCAGCCGCCGCGGUAAUACCAGCACCCCGAGUGGUCGGGACGAUUAUUGGGCCUAAAGCAUCCGUAGCCGGUUCUUUAAGUCCUCCGUUAAAUCCAUCUGCUUAACAGAUGGGCUGCGGAGGAUACUAUUGAGCUAGGAGGCGGGAGAG
rnacentral:rRNA from 1 species